AUGAACGCUAGCUACAGGCUUAACACAUGCAAGUCGAGGGGCAGCAUGGUCUUAGCUUGCUAAGGCCGAUGGCGACCGGCGCACGGGUGAGUAACACGUAUCCAACCUGCCGUCUACUCUUGGACAGCCUUCUGAAAGGAAGAUUAAUACAAGAUGGCAUCAUGAGUUCACAUGUUCACAUGAUUAAAGGUAUUCCGGUAGACGAUGGGGAUGCGUUCCAUUAGAUAGUAGGCGGGGUAACGGCCCACCUAGUCUUCGAUGGAUAGGGGUUCUGAGAGGAAGGUCCCCCACAUUGGAACUGAGACACGGUCCAAACUCCUACGGGAGGCAGCAGUGAGGAAUAUUGGUCAAUGGGCGCAGGCCUGAACCAGCCAAGUAGCGUGAAGGAUGACUGCCCUAUGGGUUGUAAACUUCUUUUAUAAAGGAAUAAAGUCGGGUAUGUAUACCCGUUUGCAUGUACUUUAUGAAUAAGGAUCGGCUAACUCCGUGCCAGCAGCCGCGGUAAUACGGAGGAUCCGAGCGUUAUCCGGAUUUAUUGGGUUUAAAGGGAGCGUAGAUGGAUGUUUAAGUCAGUUGUGAAAGUUUGCGGCUCAACCGUAAAAUUGCAGUUGAUACUGGAUAUCUUGAGUGCAGUUGAGGCAGGCGGAAUUCGUGGUGUAGCGGUGAAAUGCUUAGAUAUCACGAAGAACUCCGAUUGCGAAGGCAGCCUGCUAAGCUGCAACUGACAUUGAGGCUCGAAAGUGUGGGUAUCAAACAGGAUUAGAUACCCUGGUAGUCCACACGGUAAACGAUGAAUACUCGCUGUUUGCGAUAUACGGCAAGCGGCCAAGCGAAAGCGUUAAGUAUUCCACCUGGGGAGUACGCCGGCAACGGUGAAACUCAAAGGAAUUGACGGGGGCCCGCACAAGCGGUGGAGCAUGCUGUUUAAUUCGAAGAUACGCGAAGAACCUUACCUAGACUUGACAUCCCCGGCAAAGCUAUAGAAAUAUAGUGGAGGUUACCCGGGUGACAGGUGGUGCAUGGUUGUCGUCAGCUCGUGCCGUGAGGUGUCGGCUUAAGUGCCAUAACGAGCGCAACCCUUGUUGUCAGUUACUAACAGGUUCCGCUGAGGACUCUGACAAGACUGCCAUCGUAAGAUGUGAGGAAGGUGGGGAUGACGUCAAAUCAGCACGGCCCUUACGUCCGGGGCUACACACGUGUUACAAUGGGGGGUACAGAGGGCCGCUACCACGCGAGUGGAUGCCAAUCCCAAAAACCUCUCUCAGUUCGGACUGGAGUCUGCAACCCGACUCCACGAAGCUGGAUUCGCUAGUAAUCGCGCAUCAGCCACGGCGCGGUGAAUACGUUCCCGGGCCUUGUACACACCGCCCGUCAAGCCAUGGGAGCCGGGGGUACCUGAAGUGCGUAACCGCGAGGAGCGCCCUAGGGUAAAACUGGUGACUGGGGCU
rnacentral:rRNA from 1 species